UCUCACCCUUUGUGCAUCACCGCGUGGGGGCCCCUUUUGGUUAUUUCUGAGGGGGGCUUUUCACGUUUUUACACAAACACCCUUUUAAUGCAUGUGUAGAAUGUCUUACUUGUUGUGAUCACACACAAUCAAUACAACUUUCAACAACGGAUCUCUUGGCUCUCGCAUCGAUGAAGAACGCAGCGAAAUGCGAUACGUAAUGUGAAUUGCAGAAUUCAGUGAAUCAUCGAAUCUUUGAACGCACCUUGCGCCCUUUGGUAUUCCGAGGGGCACACCCGUUUGAGUGUCGUGACAUUCUCAAACCUUCUUGGUUUCUUGACCAGGAAGGCUUUGGACUUUGGAGGCUUUUGCUGGCCUUCUCUUGUUGAAGCCAGCUCCUCUGAAAUGAAUUAGAGGGGUCUGCUUUGCUAAUCCUUGACGUGAUAAGAUGCUUCUACGUCUUGGGUUUUGCACUGUUCCGCUUCUAACUGUCUCAUAGAAGACAAUGGCCGAGUGAUUGCCACUUGACCCACAACCCUUGACCUCAAAUCGGGUGAGACUACCCGCUGAACUUAAGCAUAUCAAUAAG
rnacentral:rRNA from 1 species